GGGGAUGUGGCUCAGUGGUUAGAGUGCUUGCCUAGCACGUAGGAAGCCCUAGGUUCGAUUCCUCAGUACCA
rnacentral:tRNA from 1 species